AUUGAACGCUGGCGGCAUGCCUUACACAUGCAAGUCGAACGGCAGCACGGGUGCUUGCACCUGGUGGCGAGUGGCGAACGGGUGAGUAAUACAUCGGAACAUGUCCUGUAGUGGGGGAUAGCCCGGCGAAAGCCGGAUUAAUACCGCAUACGAUCCACGGAUGAAAGCGGGGGACCUUCGGGCCUCGCGCUAUACGGUUGGCCGGUGGCUGAUUAGCUAGUUGGGGGGGUACAGGCCUACCAAGGCGACGACCAGUAGCUGGUCUGAGAGGCCGACCAGCCACACUGGGACUGAGACACGGCCCAGACUCCUACGGGAGGCAGCAGUGGGGAAUUUUGGACAAUGGGCGAAAGCCUGAUCCAGCAAUGCCGCGUGUGUGAAGAAGGCCUUCGGGUUGUAAAGCACUUUUGUCCGGAAAGAAAUCCUUGACUCUAAUACAGUCGGGGGAUGACGGUACCGGAAGAAUAAGCACCGGCUAACUACGUG
rnacentral:rRNA from 1 species